rnacentral:rRNA from 1 species
AUUGAACGCUGGCGGCAGGCCUAACACAUGCAAGUCGAGCGGAUGAAGGGAGCUUGCUCCUGGAUUCAGCGGCGGACGGGUGAGUAAUGCCUAGGAAUCUGCCUGGUAGUGGGGGAUAACGUCCGGAGACGGGCGCUAAUACCGCAUACGUCCUGAGGGAGAAGGUGGGGGAUCUUCGGACCUCACGCUAUCAGAUGAGCCUAGGUCGGAUUAGCUAGUUGGUGGGGUAAAGGCCUACCAAGGCGACGAUCCGUAACUGGUCUGAGAGGAUGAUCAGUCACACUGGAACUGAGACACGGUCCAGACUCCUACGGAAGGCAGCGGUGGGGAAUAUUGGACAAUGGGCGAAAGCCUGAUCCAGCCAUGCCGCGUGUGUGAAGAAGGUCUUCGGAUUGUAAAGCACUUUAAGUUGGAAGGAAGGGCAGUAAGUUAAUACCUGCUGUUUUGACGUUACCAACAGAAUAAGCACCGGCUAACUUCGUG